rnacentral:rRNA from 1 species
UACGUAGGGUGCGAGCGUUGUCCGGAAUUAUUGGGCGUAAAGAGCUCGUAGGCGGUGUGUCGCGUCGGUCGUGAAAACUUGGGGCUUAACCCUGAGCUUGCGGUCGAUACGGGCAUCACUGGAGUUCGCCAGGGGAGACUGGAAUUCCUGGUGUAGCGGUGAAAUGCGCAGAUAUCAGGAGGAACACCGGUGGCGAAGGCGGGUCUCUGGGCCGAUACUGACGCUGAGGAGCGAAAGCGUGGGGAGCGAACAGG